rnacentral:tRNA from 1 species
UGAAGUGGAGCUCAGUGAUAGGGCGCUUGCCUAACAUGCACAAGGCCCUGGGUUCUAUCCCUAGCACCCUUUAA